UACGUUCCCGGACCUUGCACACACCGCCCGUCCCACCAUGGGAGCGGGUUUUACCAGAAGUAGGUAGCUUAACCGCAAGGGGGGCGCUUACCACGGUAGGAUUCGUGACUGGGGUG
rnacentral:rRNA from 1 species